ensembl:misc_RNA Metazoa_SRP Metazoan signal recognition particle RNA
GCCGGGCGUGGUGGCACACGCCUGUAAUCCCAGCUACUUGGGAGGCUGAGGCAGGAGAAUUGCUUGAACCAGUACCCAGGAGGCAGAGGUUGCAGUGAGCUGAGAUUACGUCACUGCACUCCACGCUGGCAACAGAGUGAGACUCAGUCUCGCUCUGUCACCGAGGCUGGAAUGCAGUGGCUCGAUCUCGGCUCGCUGCAACCUCCGCCUCUGGGGUUCAAGCGAUUCUCCUGCCUCAG